UGGGUAAUUUUGCACAAUGGGGGAAACCCUGAUGCAGCGACGCCGCGUGAUUUAGAAGGCCUUCGGGUUGUAAAAAUCUUUUCUAUGGGAAGAAAAUGACAGUACCAUAGGAAUAAGGACCGGCUAAUUACGUGCCAGCAGCCGCGGUAAUACGUAAGGUCCGAGCGUUGUCCGGAAUCAUUGGGCGUAAAGGGUACGUAGGCGGGUAAGCAAGUUAGAAGUGAAAUCCUAUAGCUCAACUAUAGUAAGCUUUUAAAACUGCUCAUCUUGAGGUAUGGAAGGGAAAGUGGAAUUCCUAGUGUAGCGGUGAAAUGCGCAGAUAUUAGGAGGAAUACCGGUGGCGAAGGCGACUUUCUGGCCAUAACCUGACGCUGAGGUACGAAAGCGUGGGUAGCAAACA
rnacentral:rRNA from 1 species